CCGCUUCCGCUAGGAGAGUAAAUGGCACCCUAGUUUCCGGUAAUUAGCAGAUUCGCCUAACGCUUCAGGAAAACAACUAUAAAAUAAAACGAAAAGGCAGCGUAAAGAGGCUUCGUAUUGUCGCCAGCGGCUCAGCGAGAAUAUCAGGGCGGCAUGCGAUUUUGUUAAAAAGAUGUCCUGGCAAGAUAUCCUCCUCCUCCAUCCCAGAUCAUCUAGCUGCAGUUAACAGGCAUCUUCAGCAGUCUGUCACUGAAUGAGGGAUGGGGAAAAGGACCAUACUCUGCAGCUCUAGCAUUAGGCACCAUUGUUUCCUUCUUCAUACAUACCGAGAGCCAGACUGGAAGUAAUCCAAGCAGCUUCAAUUUUGCCUGAAGUAGCAAAAGAGCUUUGACUGAAGCUGAAGAUAGGAGAAUCACCAUGGCAGCUACCGCUCAGGACACCCUGCCAUCCACCUGGGGCGCUUCCCUCUACAAACAGCCAUCCUUGGUGGCUUCAGCCUCUGCAAGCCUCGAGGAGGAAGGCAGCAGCAGCAGUGCGGGAUGCGAGGUGC